rnacentral:lncRNA from 1 species
CACAAUCCACUUCUUCACCGCCUUCAAUAUGCCCAACAUCCACUCCAUCGUCAUCCCAAUUUAAUCCAUUUUCAUCAUCAAUAGGUGUUAUGUCUUCAUUAUCGUCAUUUGACCAAUAUGCUUCAUCAUCUUCUUGUUCAUUUGACCAAUAUGUUUCAGAUUUUGGGAUGAGUGAUCAACCUGAGACUUCAGAUCUGUGUCAUGCAGGCCACUAUUUGUUGCCAUCUGCACACCAGUACAUGCUUUUCAUUGGUAAAUUAAGCACGAAAUUCACAUGCUUCAUGACCAUAAUACACUACCCAGGUGAAUAUUCUACCCAAAUAUUGCAUAUAACCAAAUAAAUUGAUUCCUUUGUUCCAUGUACAUCUAAAAAUUAAUCAAAACAAUAAAUAAUAAAAAUAACUACCAAUAAAUAUCCAAUAAGCCAGACAAAUUAUCAUCAUCAUUAUACAAAAUGGAAAUUAUAAAAAUAAUAAUAAUCCUAAGUGGCUCAAGCAAACAAAAAAUACCUAGUUCCAGCAUCUUCCGGCGGGAGCAGCAGCACCAGCGGCAGUCUUCGAUCGCGAGCAGUUCCAGUCGCUUCCAGCGGCGCGCACGACGCACGAGCAGCAGCACAGUCGCGGUAUCGAUCGCGAUCGCAAGCAGUUCCAGCAGCAGCUUCCGGCGGCGCGCACGACGCAAGAGCAGCAGCACCACCUUCCUGCAGCUUCCGGCGAUUAGUAUGAGUGUGUGUGUUAAAGGUUUGUAAGAUCUGGAAAGUGUG